rnacentral:rRNA from 1 species
CCCUUAGAUAUCCUGGGCCGCACGCGCGCUACACUGACAUGUUCAACAAGCCUCCUAGUUCGACAGGAUUUGGGAAAUCUUUGAACGCAUGUCGUGAUAGGGAUAGAUCAUUGCAAUUAUUGAUCUUGAACGAGGAAUUCCUAGUAAACGCGAGUCAUCAGCUCGCAUUGAUUACGUCCCUGCCCUUUGUACACACCGCCCGUCGCACCUACCGAUUGAAUGUUUCGGUGAAGAUUCCGGAUAGGACUUUUUUGAUUUAUUUCAAUUCUGUCUUAAAAGCUAUCUAAACCUCAACAUUUAGAGGAAGGUGAAGUCGUAACA